CACAUACUUUCUGCUACCCCCAGGCCAGAAGGCACCUUCAAGGUUAAGGCUGAAGUUUAAGAAGAACCAGACUUGCUUCUGGCCUCCAGCAGGACUGCCACCCCAGUAUCCACCAAGGGCCUUUCUUAGAAGAUAAAAUCCUCCCACAAUGCAACAGUGAACAAGACAAAACCCCCUAUCAAUUUACUGCCAUGAAGCGCAUACAAUGUAGCUGAAACAUCAAUCCCUUCAGCUGCCACCGAUAUGCCGGCAUUAUAUCCAAGACACUGCGCUACAGAUUUGGUGGUGACAUCUGAAAUGACAGGAGCCGAUGUACGUGCCAAGUGCAAGCAAAAAGUGCAAAACGUGUUCACACAAAAACUGGGCAGGAGGAUGCGGUCUAUCUCAAGCCCUUCUCCGAAGGGAGAGAUGCACCCCAAUAAACCAAACCCUUCCCCUCUGGGCCAAAAGUCACCUGCAAGUUUCCAGGUACAAUGACCCCUUUCGCCGAAGCUACUCAGGGACCGAAAGUGUUCCUGGUGAACAACCGGCCGAAAACCAAGUUGUCACCGAGGAGCCGAAGACUUCGCUGCCCUGCCAAAGCAAGGAUGCCCGAGGUCCAAUAAACAAAAACCUUCACCUCCGGACCGUACAAUUUUUUUAGUUAAAAGCUGAGGUACGUGCUCUCAAGUCACGUAAGAGCUUUAUUGAUCAUUCAGUCAUUACAAGCCAUACAUUAA